GGCAGCACAGAGGGCGCCCAAGGCAUUUGCUCCUUCUGCUCCUGCCUCUCAAGAAUCUAAAGAUGACGGAUGCCACUUCUGCCACAAGAAGGACCACUACCAAAAGGAUUGUGUUGGUUUCCUGAAGUGGCUUGCAAAGAAGGGGAUUCCUUACCGCGAGAACAUUAAGAAAGGGGGAGCGAAGUCUUAGAGUGGCCAAUGGGAAGGAAGCUCAAGUUGAAGCUAUCGGAUCCCUUCCAUUAGUUCUUAAUAAUGGCUUCACUCUUAGAUUAAAUAAUGUAGUUUAUGUUCCUUCUAUGAGGAGGAAUCUCAUUUCAGUUUCGAUGUUAGAUGAUGAUGGUUUUCAUUGUAAUUUCGGAGACAAUAAAUGCAUUCUUAAAUUUAAUUCA